rnacentral:rRNA from 1 species
CGAUAGAUCUCGGCUGCUGGAAUGCAUCGAGCUUUAAAGCUCCGGCGCCUGAGGAUGGGUCUGCGGCCUAUCAGGUAGUAGUGGGUGUAGCGUACCUACUAGCCUACGACGGGUACGGGUUGUGAGAGCAAGAGCCCGGAGAUGGAUUCUGAGACACGAAUCCAGGCCCUACGGGGUGCAGCAGGCGCGAAAACUCUACAAUGCUGGCAACGGCGAUAAGGGGACCUCGAGUGCCAGGUUACAAAUCUGGCUGUCGUGAUGCCUAAAAAGCAUUGCAUAGCAAGGGCCGGGCAAGACCGGUGCCAGCCGCCGCGGUAACACCGGCGGCUCGAGUGGUAACCGUUAUUAUUGGGUCUAAAGGGUCUGUAGCCGGCCGGAUAAGUCUCUUGGGAAAUCUGGCAGCUUAACUGUUGGGCUUUCAGGAGAUACUGUCUGGCUCGAGGCCGGGAGAGGUGAGAGGUACUUCAGGGGUAGGGGUGAAAUCUUGUAAUCCUUGAAGGACCACCAGUGGCGAAGGCGUCUCACCAGAACGGACCUGACGGCAAGGGACGAAAGCUAGGGGCACGAACCGGAUUAGAUACCCGGGUAGUCCUAGCCGUAAACGAUACUCGCUAGGUGUCGGCCACGGUGCGACCGUUGUCGGUGCCGUAGGGAAGCCGUGAAGCGAGCCACCUGGGAAGUACGGCCGCAAGGCUGAAACUUAAAGGAAUUGGCGGGGGAGCAC